rnacentral:rRNA from 1 species
GCAAGUCGAGGGGCAGCACGUCUUCGGAUGGUGGCGACCGGCGCACGGGUGCGUAACGCGUAUAGAACCUACCCUAUACAGGGAGAUAGCCCAGAGAAAUUUGGAUUAAUAUCCCAUAGUACUAUCAGAUGGCAUCUGAAGAUAGUUAAAGAUUUAUUGGUAUAGGAUGGGCAUGCGUUAGAUUAGUUAGUUGGUGAGGUAACGGCUCACCAAGACAGCGAUCUAUAGGGGUUCUGAGAGGAUGAUC